rnacentral:hammerhead_ribozyme from 1 species
AUCCAGCCGAUGAGUCCCAAAUAGAACGAAACGCGCAUCCUAGAU